GACGAACGCUGGCGGCGUGCCUAACACAUGCAAGUCGAACGAACAGAUAAGGAUCUUGCUCCUUUGACGUUAGCGGCGCACGGGUGAGUAACACGUGGAUAACCCACCUAUAUGAGUGGGAUAACUUCGGGAAACCGGAGCUAAUACCGGAUAAUCUUUCGAACCGCGGGGUUGGAUAGAGAAAGAUGGUUGUGCUAUCAUGUAUAGAUGGACCCGCGCCGUAUUGGGGGGUUGGUAAGGUAACGGCAUACCAAGGCGACGAUAGGUGGCCGACCUGAGAGAGUGAUGGCCCCCCUUGGAAGGUGACCAGGGUCAAGCGUCCUACGGGAGGCACCAGUAGGGAACGUUCGGCAGUGGGGGAAAGCCUGACGGAGCACGCCGGCGUGGGUGGUACAGGUCUUGGGAUCGUAAUACCGUGUUAUUGGGGCAAAACAUAUGUGUAAGUAAAUGUACACGUCUUGACGGUACCUGAUCAGAAAGCCACGGCUAACUACGUG
rnacentral:rRNA from 1 species